AUCCUUCACUUACACUAACACAGUACAAUUAUGAAAGUCAGAAAUUUAACAUUGAUAUAAUACUGUUAUAAUAGAUUAAUUAAACUAAUCUGUAAUCCUUAUUCAAAUUUUGCUAAUUGCUUCAGUAAUGUGCGUUAUGAAAAUUUUUUUUCUGCUCCAUGAUCCAAUCCAGUAUCACACCUUGCUUUAUUUAUUUAUUUAUUUAUUUAUUGAGCAGGGUCUUACUCUGUUGCCAGGGUGGAGAGACAGAGUUUCACUCUUGUUGCCCAGGCUGGAGUGCAAUGGCACGAUCUCAGCUCACCGCCACCUCCACCUCCUGGAUUCAAGCGAUUAUCCUGCCUCUGCCUCCCGAGUAGCUGGGAUUACAGGCAUCUGCCACCACACCCGGCUAAUUUUGUAUUUUUAGUAGAGAUGGGUGGGGUUUCUCCAUGUUGGUCAGGCUGGUCUUGAACUCCCGACCUCAGGUGAUCUGCCUGCCUCAGCCUCCCAAAGUGCUGGGAUUAUAGGCGUGAGCUACUGCGCCUGGCCUUUUUUUUUUUUUUUUUUUUUUUUGAGACAGAGUCUCACUCUGUCACCCAGGCUGGAGUGCAGUGGUGACAUCUCGGCUCACUGCAAACUCUGUCUCCCGGGUUCAAACAAUUCUCCUGUGUCAGCCUCCUGAGUAGCUGGGAUUACAGGCAUGUGCCACCACACCCAGCUAAUUUUUGUAUUUUCAUAGAGAGGGGGGUUUCACCACAUUGGCCAGGCUGGUCUUGAACUCCUGAGCUCAGGUGAUCUGCCAGCCUCGGCCUCCCAAAGUGGUGGGAUUACAGGUGUGAGCCACGCACCCGGCAUUCACAAUCUUUUUAAUAACCUCAUCGUAUUUUCUAAUAUGGAUGGACCCUGGUUUAUUAUUCCCUUAGUGACUGACUUUAUGAUCUUUUCCUUUUUAAAAUUAUUACAAACCAUGCUGCAGCGGACGUCUUUCUAGGUAUCUCUUUAUGCACACAUGCCGGUGUUCUCCAAGAGACUCUUCCAGACCCCUCACAGACUGCCAGCUGUACCUUUUUUAGCAGGUGACUGAAGAUAUACAUCUGUGCUAAAGGGGUCACUGGCUCCUUGCAGUUACUUCAUGAUUCCCCAUGGUUUCUACUGGUUGGGAUCUACUACCUUAGACUUACACACUACUCCUGACCCCUUUCACUCCCCUCUGCCUCAGGAGCCAGACAGUGACAAUGAGUGGCAGCACCUGCUAGAGACCACUGAGCCUGUGCCUAUUCAACUGAAGGCUCCUCUCACCUAACACAGAAAGAGCAGCCCUCAGGUUUCUUUUUCUGAAGGGAAAAAUGCCUACUAGAAUAGGGAUCAAACUUUUUUGAUGAUAAAUAUUUUAGGCAUUGUGAGCCACCAGGCAAAAAUGGAGGAUAUUAUGUUAAGUACUUACAUAAUGAGGGAAAACACAUUUUCACUAAUUUUUUAUUGAUGAAAUUAAAAAUAUAAAUGUAACAAUUAAAUAUACAAUAUUUUGUACUACAGGUACACUAGUGAGAAGAAUGAGGUUUACUUUGCUCCUCUGAAACACAGUGCUUUUCCUUCCUGGGUACUCGCCAAACUGUGUUGCUUAUAUCACUUUAUUCAGGUAUAAUUUAUGUAUAAGAUUUACACUUUUUUGAUGAAUGAUAAAUGAUUUUUAGUAAAUUUGCUAAUUUAAAAACUGUUAACCAUAGUUCAGUUUUAGAACAUUUUCAUCACCCCAGUAAAAUCCCUCAUACCCAUUUACGGUUUUUUUUUUGAGACGGAAUCUCACUCUGUCACCCAGGCUGGAGUGUAGUGGUGUGAUCUCGGCUCACUGCAACCUCUGCCCCGCGCAGGUUUAAGCAAUUCUCUGCCUCAGCCUCUGGAGUGACUGGGAUUACAGGCUCGUGCCACCACGCCCGGUUAAUUUUUUUGUAUUUUUAGUAGAGAUGGUGUUUCACCAUCUUAGCCAGGCUGGUCUUGAACUCCUGACCUUGUGAUCCGCCCGCCUCAGCCUCCCAAAGUGCUGGGAUUACAGGCGUGAACCACCGUGCCCAGCCUUUUUAAAAUUUAUUUAUUUAUUUAUUUUUAAUUUUUGAGAUGGGGUCUCACUCUGUCAUCUAGGCUGGAGUGUUGUAGCACAAUCUUGGGUCACUGCAGCCUCUGCCUCCCUGGUUCAAGGGAUUCUCAUGUCUCAGCAUCUCAAGUAGCUUGGAUUACAGGCGUGCACCACCAUGCUUAGCUAAUUUUUUGUAUUUUUUGUAGAGAUAGGGUUUUACCAUGUUGCCCAGGCUGGUCUGGAACUCCUGGGCUCAAGUGGGCUCAAGUAAUCCUCCCACCUUGGCCUCCCAAAGUGCUAGGAUUAUAGGUAUGAGCUACUGCCCCCAGCCCCCAUUUACAGUUAAUCAUUAUUCCCCUUUUUAUAGCUGGUUAGUAUUCCGUUAUAUGGAUAUAUCACAUUUUGUUUAUCCACUCACUAGUUGAUUAGAUAUUGAUGUAUUGGGUUGUUUCCACUUUUUAGCUUUUAUGAAUAAUGCUGCUAUGAACAUUCACAAGCAAGUCUAUGUAUGGAUAAAUGUUUUUAUUUCCCUUGGGUAACUACGUAGGAGUAGAAUUGCUGGUCAUAUGGUAAAUUUAUAUUUAACAUUUUAAGAAACUGCUGAACUAUUUUCCAAAGUGGCUGUACCAUUUUACAUUCCCACCAGUAUUAUAUGAGGGUCCUUGUUUCUUCACAUCCUUGUCAACACUUGUUAUUGUCUAACUUUUUUACUAUAGCCAUUCUAGUAAGUGUGAGAUAGUAUCUCAUUGUUAUUUUAAUUUACAUUCCACUAAUGAUGAAUGUUGAACAUCUUUUCAUGGCUUAUUCACCAUUUGUAUAUCUUCUUUGGUGAAAUAUCUCAAAUCUUCUGCUCAGUUUUUAAUUUGGUUGUUUGCGUUAUUGAGUUGUAAGACUUCUUUGUAUAUUGUCAACAUAAGACCUUUAUCAGAUGGGUGAUUUGCAAAUAUUUUCUCCCAGUCUGUGGUUUGUCUUUUCAUUCUUUCUCAUAAGAGUGUCUUUUGAAGCAAAAAAUGUUGAAUUUUGAUUUAAGUUCAGUUACUGUUUUUUCCCUUUGUGGUUCAUACUUUUGAUGUUGUGUAUAAGAAAUCUUUUCCAAAUGCAAGGUCUUAAAGAUUUUCUCUUUUCCUAAGUUUUAUAGUUUUAGCUCUUACAUGUAGGUUUCUGAUCCAUCUUGAGCUAAUUUUUGUAUAUAAUGUGAGGAAAGGAUCUAAGUUGAUCGUUUUUGCAUGUGGAUAUAUAAUUGUCCUGGCACCAUUUGUGGAAAAGAACUCUCCUUUCCUCAUUGAAUUGGCUUGGCACUUUGCACUUGUCUUUUGGCGCUAACACGUUUUCCUCCUAGUGUUGGAUAACUUGCAGUGUGGGGAGGCAGACUGAAAGCUCUGCCUUUAGGGAUAAGACUCCCUCUGGUGGAAUUCCAGCUGCACUACUCAUUAGCUGCGUGAUCUUGGACUACUUACUUGACUUAUGCAGAAGCUUCAGUUUCUUCAUCUAUAAAAUGGCUAAUUCUAUUUAUUUCACAGGGUUAUUGUAAAUAUUAAAUGAGCAGAUGCCAACAUUUAGAACAGCUAAUGGAAUAUUAUAAAAUACUUGGUGUAAAUGUUCUUCUUUUGAAGAAUAACCAUUUAAAAAUACAA
rnacentral:lncRNA from 1 species